GCCCAACACAUUAUUAUCUGUGCACCCGUGGACCAAUCACAGCCAGGAUGAGGCGGGACAUUACAAUAAAGACUGACAUGCUGCUGCAAAGUUUGGAAAUGUUGAACUCCUUGCUACGCAUGAAUAGUUAUGAUUAUUGAUAAGUUAGUACUUUGCAUUAACAAAAUAGAGACAAUCCAACAGUACAGAGCAUUUUUCUUGUACAAGGAUUUAAUGAAAGAACAAAACCUUCUUCUCCUUGUGUCUGCCUCCUUCAAAGAGCAACACAUGUCCUCAUUCUACAUCUAUUUUACUUAAAUUAUUGUUAUAAAUAUAGUUCAGUAAUCUUGUUUACAUAAAGUGUGCUGUGGUUUAUGUGGGUGGUGGUGGUGUGCUGGUCUAAGUCAAACAGUCCAGGGCCGUUUUUCAUUCCCAAUCCAUCCCUGGACUCAAGCGCCAACCACCAGUCUGAGAUCUGUCUCAGAAAAACUAAGUGCACUUUUAUAAACACUAAAAGUUUCAUAUAACUAAUUUUUCUUCUCUGAAAGACCAACAAAUACUUAAGGCCAAGUAAGUCAAACUAAAAGACGAUUUUUUACCUUUCUUUCGUCCUUUUUUAACCCAUUCUGUGCUACAGGAAGACGGCGCAGGGACAUGUCCUGUCAUGUCAGAGCAGUUCUCUAAAACCAGACAGCACCUCUCUCACAGAGGAGAGCACAAGUUGCAGGGGGGCGGGAGUUUCAGGAAAGACCAGCCUAACCUCAAUAAAACUGGCCAACUGCAGCGCACUACUGGGUGAGUCACCGUGGAUACAUUAAUGUCAUUGGCUUUUCAAACACAGUAACUGGCUCCAGACUUUACAAUUUAGCGAAUCGUCACAAUGAAUAAGAUUCCACAUGAAUACCACCACGAGAGAUACUAAAGAAUGGAUUUUUAGCGCGGUGCCAAGGGAGGUCAGAGGUCAACUUUAAAGCAGCGUCCCCUUACAUGAGGACUGUCCAGGAUGACUUCCCCCUGCAUGGUUUUGAACGGUUGGAUGACGUCGCCUCCCAUCACCCUUCAAAUGCCCCUGUGCUGAUUAGAUAAACUUCUACGCCACUGGGGACAGAGCUGCAGAGAAACUCUGAGCAGGACCUCUCUGAGGUGCCCGCAGCCGUGUUGGGUCACUUGUGCUUCGCUGCUGGCGUGUUGUCCUGACCUGGCAAGAGUCAUAUCCAAAGAGUACGCACUGAAUGUUGGUUCUCAUCUGUCUCUUUGGAUGUGUAGCAGUAAUUGGUGCCACUUUGGGGUUAGGUGGCCAUUCGACCUUUGAGUGAAAGUGCUGAUGGUGCCAGGAAGUCCAUAUGAACUUGAUCCCAGUGGUACACUGUUAAUAGAUACAAUGGUGAGGUGUAACAGAACAGGACCAGGGCAGAGAAGGAGAGGAGAAUCUGCACGAUGUUGCAGCAGAUUGUUGAACUAAUCUGAUAUGAGGCAGGGAAAGAUUCUGCAUGAGUGUAAGUGUUUUGAAUCCUGUCCAGUGGUUACCAUGGCCACAGGGACACAGUCCUGAUCUGUCAGUCAAUCUACUCCUUAUAGUGGUACUGUGUCUUGUGCAUGUGUGGCUUGUCCUCAGCAGGGUU